rnacentral:rRNA from 1 species
ACCCCCGGAUCUGCGGUGGGUACGGGCAGACUAGAGUGCAGUAGGGGGAGACCUGGAAUUCCUGGUGUAGCGGUGGAANNCGCAGAUAUCAGGAGGAACACCCGAUGGCGAAGGCAGGUCUCUGGGCUGUAACUGACGCUGAGGAGCGAAAAGCAUGGGGAGCGAACAGGAUUAGAUACCCUGGUAGUCCAUGCCGUAAACGUUUGGGCACUAGGUGUGGGGACCCAUUCCACGGUUUCCGCGCCGCAGCUAACGCAUUAAGUGCCCCCGCCUGGGGAGUACGGCCGCAAGGCUAAAACUCAAAGGAAUUGACGGGGGCCCGCACAAGCGGCGGAGCAUGCGGAUUAAUUCGAUGCAACGCGAAGAACCUUACCAAGGCUUGACAUGUUCUCGAUCGCCGUAGAGAUACGGUUUCCCCUUUGGGGUGGGUUCACAGGUGGUGCAUGGUUGUCGUCAGCUCGUGUCGUGAGAUGUUGGGUUAAGUCCCGCAACGAGCGCAACCCUCGUUCCAUGUUGCCAGCACGUCGUGGUGGGGACUCAUGGGAGACUGCCGGGGUCAACUCGGAGGAAGGUGAGGACGACGUCAAAUCAUCAUGCCCCUUAUGUCUUGGGCUUCACGCAUGCUACAAUGGCCGGUACAAUGGGUUGCGAUACUGUGAGGUGGAGCUAAUCCCAAAAAGCCGGUCUCAGUUCGGAUUGGGGUCUGCAACUCGACCCCAUGAAGUCGGAGUCGCUAGUAAUCGCAGAUCAGCAACGCUGCGGUGAAUACGUUCCCGGGCCUUGUACACACCGCCCGUCAAGUCACGAAAGUUG